rnacentral:rRNA from 1 species
UGCGUAGGCUGCGCGGAAAGUUGGGUGUGAAAGCCCUCAGCUCAACUGAGGGAUUGCAUCCAAAACUACCGUGCUCGAGGGAGACAGAGGUGAGCGGAACUCAAGGUGGAGCGGUGAAAUGCGUUGAUAUCUUGAGGAACACCGGUGGCGAAAGCGGCUCACUGGGUCUCUUCUGACGCUGAGGCACGAAAGCUAAGGUAGCAAACG